rnacentral:misc_RNA from 1 species
AAGAAUUGUUACAUAUCUCCAAUGCACUUUGCAUACAAAUUUAAGGAAAGGACAAAGCAAGGUGAGGUGUGGUUAGUUGAGGAAUUUUGUUUCCCAAUAAGGGUGAGGAGGAUUGCGGAAAAAUUUUAUGCCCCUCUAAGGCCUAGGGUGAGGUUGAGGUGGAUGCUCUAAGGAGUGGACUAGGGAAAGGAAUGACAAAACCCGCCCCCACCCUCGACCUAGUCCAUUACAAUUCCCAAAGGUCUUAUCAAACACUUU